ensembl:lncRNA
GAUGGGAUGAGGUCACCAACACUUUCUGAUGAUCAGUUAUGUGCUAGUGUUAGUCACUCAUUUUCAUACCGUGUUUAAUCCACACAGCCACUCUCAGGACCCAACAACUCUGCUCAUUUUACAAACCGGAUGAGGAAAUAGAUGCAGAAGGGGGCGUGUCUCAAGGUCACCCAGCAGAGCCGGGUCCCUCCGGAUCAGCAGAGGAGAGGAAGGUUCCCUCUGCCAUGGGAGAUGCUUUUCUGCUACUCCUAUCUAGGACUGAAUGCAGGAGAGGCUUAGAACCUUCCAGAAAACAAUUUUGUGUGUGUACAAUGGAGAGAGUAGGAAAAGAAGUUUUGAUGUUAAACAGGCUCAGGCCUUGGCCCUGCUGCUGACUGUGUGACUUUGGGCAACUUACUUAACUUCUCGAAGCUUCAGUUUUCUCAAUUCCAAAACGGGGAGAAUAAUAGUGUCCCCCUCCCAGGGCUCUUUCAAAGACAGAAGGGGGUCCUGUAUAUAAAACACUUAGCACCAAAUAUGGCAUGCAUUAAAUGCUCAAUGUUCAUUGACUGCUAUUAAUUUUAGUAUGUCCUGAUGAAAUGGCCUUGAUCUAAGGAGCAUCCCAUCAAUAAAAGUUUCCACAAAAGCA